rnacentral:rRNA from 1 species
GACGUAGGGCGCGAGCGUUGUCCGGAUUUAUUGGGCGUAAAGAGCUCGUAGGCGGCUUGUCGCGUCGACUGUGAAAACUCGGGGCUCAACUCCGAGCUUGCAGUCGAUACGGGCAGGCUAGAGUUCGGUAGGGGAGACUGGAAUUCCUGGUGUAGCGGUGAAAUGCGCAGAUAUCAGGAGGAACACCGGUGGCGAAGGCGGGUCUCUGGGCAGCAACUGACGCUGAGGAACGAAAGCCAGGGGAGCGAACGGG